rnacentral:rRNA from 1 species
AACCGAGUGGCGUAAGGGUGAGUAAUGCAUUGAUAACCUACCUUUGAGACGGGGAUAACAACGUUCCGCAAGGGACUACCGAAAGGGUUGCUAAUACCCGAUAAAACUCUAGAUACUUAGGUAUCGAGAGUCAAAGGUUUGGGGCUGAAAGGUUCCAUAUGCUCAGGGAGGGGUCGAUGUCCUAUCAGCUAGUUGGUAGGGUAAAGGCCUACCAAGGCGAAGACGGGUAGCCGGCCUGAGAGGGUGGUCGGCCACACUGGGACUGAGACACUGCCCAGACUCCUACGGGAGGCUGCAGUCGAGAAUCUUUCGCAAUGCCCGGAAGGGUGACGAAGCGACGCCGCGUGUGGGAAGAAGGCCUUCGGGUUGUAAACCACUGUCGGGAGUUAAGAAGUGUAGGGGGGUUAAUAGUCUCCUUACUUGACGUUAGCUCCGGAGGAAGCCACGGCUAACUCUGUGCCAGCAGCCGCGGUAAUACAGAGGUGGCAAGCGUUGUUCGGAAUUAUUGGGCGUAAAGAGCACGCAGGCGGCCCUGCAAGUCAGCUGUGAAAUCCUUCUGCUCAACGGAAGAACGGCAGUUGAUACUAUAGGGCUCGAGUGCGGGAGGGGAGAGUGGAACUUCUGGUGGAGCGGUGAAAUGCGUAGAUAUCAGAAGGAACAUCGGCGGCGAAGGCGACUCUCUGGCCCGUAACUGACGCUGAGGUGCGAAAGCUAGGGGAGCAAACGGGAUUAGAUACCCCGGUAGUCCUAGCCGUAAACGAUGGGCACUCGGUAGAGGGGUUUUGAUUAUCUCUCUGCCUGAGCUAACGCGUUAAGUGCCCCGCCUGGGGAGUACGGCCGCAAGGCUAAAACUCAAAAGAAUUGACGGGGGCUCGCACAAGCGGUGGAGCAUGUGGCUUAAUUCGAUGCAACACGAAGAACCUUACCGGGGCUUGACAUGGUAGAAGUAGGAGCCUGAAAGGGUAACGAACGGUAUCCAGUCCGUAGCUAUCACAGGUGUUGCAUGGCUGUCGUCAGCUCGUGUCGUGAGACGUUGGGUUAAGUCCCGCAACGAGCGAAACCCUUGUCUUUAGUUGCCAACAGGUCAAGCUGGGCACUCUAAAGAGACUGCUGUCGUCAAGACGGAGGAAGGUGGGGAUGACGUCAAGUCAUCAUGGCCCUUAUGUCCCGGGCUGCACACGUGCUACAAUGGUCGGUACAAAGGGAUGCCAAGUCGCAAGAUGGAGCGAAACCCAAAUAAAGCCGAUCCCAGUUCAGAUUGGAGGCUG